AUUGAACGCUGGCGGCAUGCUUUACACAUGCAAGUCGAACGGCAGCGCGGGGCUUGGGCUGGCGGCGAGUGGGGGAAGGGGGAGUAAAGCAUCGGAACGUGCCCCGCAGUGGGGGGGGGGCCGGCGAAAGACGGGUUAAUAUCGCGUACGGGCUGUGGGGGAAAGCGGGGGGGCGGAAAGGGUUGCGGCAGUUGGGGGGGCGGUGGCGGAUUAGCUAGUUGGGGGGGGAAAGGCGUACCAAGGCGACGAUCCGUAGCUGGUCUCAGAGGACGACCAGCCACACUGGGACUGAGACACGGCCCCGGCUCCUACGGGAGGCAGCAGUGGGGAAUUUUAGGCAAUGGGGGCAAACCUGGUCCAGCCAUGCCGCGUGCGGGAAGAAGGCCUUCGGGUUGUAAACCGCUUUUGUUCGGGAAGAAAUCCUCUGGGCUAAUACCCCGGGGGGAUGACGGUACCGGAAGAAUAAGCACCGGCUAACUACGUG
rnacentral:rRNA from 1 species